AUCGCCAUUCCGACAACUAGCGAUAAGCUUGCUUAUUGCGUUCAAUAAUAUUAUUACACUACCACUUAUUUAUAUUCCAAACCAUAAAAAACAAAACUGCAAGAUAAAUUUUGUAACUCGUGAGGAUUUGACAUAUGUACCUGCGACCAUAAUUUAAAUAAUAGAAGAAAUACACUCAUACUUUUUAGUAUGCUCAGUACGAUUCGUGCUUUUACUGGCAAUUGUUAACGCGCGAAGAGCAUCCUGAAAUUAUUGUACCUAUUUCAGACGGUGCGGGAUCUGUGUGACCCAGGACAGGGAAAACGAAGUGAGAACUAAACGUCGUUCGAAGAAGCUCCGUCACGUUUCUGAUCGCCUGGUACCUAUUGUCUUCGUUACUGGAGUAUUGAUCCGCAACGAUGUCACUAAAAAAAAAACAUAUGUUACGUAGUAGUCAGAAUGAUUUUGUUAUUUUUAACUAUUAAGAAUGAGCUUUUUUUAAUAAUAAUUUUUAAUUAAUACAA